rnacentral:rRNA from 1 species
ACGAACGUUGGCGGCGUGGAUUAGGCAUGCAAGUCGCACGAAUCUCAGCUGGGUAACUGGUUGGGGAAAGUGGCGAAAGGGGCAGUAAGGCGUGGGUAACUUGCCCCGGAGUUCGGAAUAGCCUUCCUAACGGAUGGGUAAUACCGAAUGCCAUGACGAGGGGGCCUCCUCUUGUCAUGAAAGUUACGGCGCUCCGGGAGGGGCCCACGUAGUAUUAGCUGGUUGGUGAGGUAACGGCUCACCAAGGCCAAGAUGCUUAGCAGGUGUGAGAGCACGACCUGCGCCACUGGCACUGGGACACUGGCCAGACUCCUACGGGAGGCUGCAGUCGAGGAUCUUCGGCAAUGGGCGCAAGCCUGACCGAGCGACGCCGCGUGGGCGAUGAAGGCCUUCGGGUUGUAAAGCCCUGUCGAAGGGAAGAAAAACGCGCAAGCGUUUGAUCGACCCUUGGAGGAAGCACGGGCUAAGUUCGU